AGAAGAAUUUCAGUAGAUAUAGGGAAACUGAAAAUAUAUAGCUAAAUGUUAACAUCUGAAAUAAAAAUACAUUGAUAGGCACAAUAUCACUUACAAUGGAAAUUUGUAAUAAAAAUGAGAGAGAGAGAGAGAGAGAGAGUGCACUCGACCUGCCAUAAUAGAAUCCCUCAGAUUGGGUAAUCUGUGAACAAUAUCAAUUUAUUUCUUAUAGUUGCUGCCCUGGGAAGCCCAAGACCAAAGUGCCAGGAGAUUUCAUGUCUACUGAAGGGCUCACUCUCUGCUCCAAAAAAUUGAUCCUCCCAUGAGGAAAAGAAGGAACACUGGAAAUCACAUGGUAGGAGAAUGGAAGCUUUUCCAAAAAUUGUCAUGAAGCAGGUAUACUAUAAAAGCUGUAACUCAGGAAUCAUUUGUGCCAGGCAGUCUCUGCGAUCAUUCCCAGUCAUCUUCAACUCUUGGUACAAAAAAAGGGGGCUUAUUAAAUGGCACUGGACCUUCCUCAAAGAGUUCCAUUGCCGGUCAAGGCCCAGGCACUGGAGAGGAACUCGGAAGUCACCGAGAAGCUGCAACUUCAGCAGCACUGCGCAAAGGUAGCUCCUAACAUUAUUCCCAGGGAUGGAAUAUACAUCCUUCAAACUACAAGGAACUCAAUUAUGCCCUGUACUUUUUGCUUUUCCAAGUGUGAGAUCAAGGUAAAAAUGUGCAAGAUGAGUCACUGAAUACCCGUCUCCUUUAGUUUUAUUUUUCUUUGCACAUUAAAAUCAUAUUUCCUUGUUUUGGGGUAAGAUGAAAAAGGGAAAAUAUUGGUCAAAAUGUUCAAAUUUUCAGUUGUAAAUUCUUGUGAUCAAAUCCACAGCAAGAUGAUUAUGGUUAAUAAAACUAUUAUUCUUAGGUAUGAGGUCAUAAAUAUUCUUAACACACAUGGUGACUCUGUGAAAUUGUGGAUGUAGCGUCAAUUGAAAUUUGACUGUGAUGAUAAUUUCAGAAUAUGUGUGUUUAUCAAAGCAUCAUAUUGUAUACACACUUAUCAAAGAUGUGCUUAGAUGGUCCAACUUUAUUUAAGCCUUGAUAAUCCAGUCAAGCUCUGAAAGGAAAACUUUGACCUGUUACUGUACUACACUAAAACACUGCAUUUGUUAGCCUACUUCUCAGCAAUUCUGGAAAAAUACUAGUUUUCUACACACAUACAACAUUUCUGAUUCCAAAUAUGUGAGUUUUUUCCCACACCAAUAAAUUCUCCAAUAUAAAUUGUGUAGCCUCCACUUUCUUCAAUUUUGGGACUAAUUUUCUAGAGUUAACCCAAACUGCACAGUUUAAGUCCUCAGUAUCUCAGAGUGCCUCUGACGUCAGACACCAAAUUUAAGUGAUGAGUCCCCAGUGUACUCAGAAUCUCUGCCCAAGUUGCCUACAAAUUUGUGGU
rnacentral:lncRNA from 1 species